GGGACCAGGGAAGUCGCUUGCCCUGGUCCUCACGGCAGCCUCUCCGAUGCUGAGGGCAUUCUGCUCCCCAGUGUUUUGACUGCAGUAGGUUUGUUGGAUGGUUUCACAGCUGGCUAAUGCUGCUACGUAAUUUCCAGCCUCCUGCAGGAUCCUCUGGACUUCUGCGGCUGGAGAUGGCUGUAGCUCUAUGGGUCAGGACUAACACUUCUAAAAGAACGUGGGAAAUGUGAGGAAACAAAUGCCAGCCGCAUCAGUGGGUGUAUUUCUAGAAAGCACUUGGAUGGUGCUGUGCUGGCAACUUGAGAAGAGUGAGGAGAUGAAGUUAAUGGAGUGUCUCGUAGAUGAGGAAAGAGGAAAACUAAAUCUGAGUUGCUUCCACUUCAGAAGCUUUGGGCAUGUAUUUCUAAUCAAGUGAAGUUCAGAUCAGAGAAACUCUUGUCAUUUGUGUCCUCUGUUUACUUCUAGAGUAAAUCAGAACAAACAAGCCCAAAUUCCUGCCUUUUUGCUUAGAUGCCCAAACCAAUUUUCAGCAGCCUGAAGAUGUCUUCACAUUUUGGAAAAAAAAAAAAAAAAAAAAAAAAAACCACUACAAGGGGCUUGGGAACUGUGAAUGAGUCUGACUGGUUAUGGAAAAGCUACUAGGCAGGGGUAUGAAAAGCUCGCUGGUAAAUCAUUUACAAGAAAAUAUCUUGCUCAGCAUGGGGUUUGCAAUGGGGAGGUCAUAUUUAAUGACCUGUUUCAAAUGUUAUUAUAAAUCAUUACUUCCUCACCAGCUAAACCACGGCAGCCUAUUGCUUUGUAUGCUCUGCUGUAGAAAUGUCACUAACUUGUGAACAUGUUGGAGCGUGGAGCUGCGUACCCUCCCGGGAUGCAGGAAAGAGCAGGAAAUGUGAGGGGCUGUCAAGCGUCCCCAGGGGGCAACGCAAACCCACCGCGCACUUGGUUGUACAGCUCCUGUAUUUUAAUUGCACCAGCCUCCUCUGUGAAACACAAGACCUUUGGGAGCGCAUUGACAAGAAGCAAAACCUGGGUUAGCUAAACGAAAGCAUGUCCUUGGUGCAGAAGCAUGAAGAGUUUUCAGGAGGAUAGAGAGGAACUAUCUCAGACAAGGAGAGCUUGUGAUCAAGCUUACAAGUAAAUAGACCGUUUCAGAUUUGGGGUGAAGAUCAGGAAAGAAGGUGGAGAAGGCUGCAUGAAUGGGAAAGCUUUCUGGGUGAUUUUUUCAGCAGACUCAGCUACCAUAAAUACACCUGUAUCAGGGCCCAGCAAGGAACAUACCACUGGCUGAGCUGUCCUAUUGCCCACACAGAAACAGCUAUAGCGGUGACAUGCCACCACACAUCACGGCCAUUGGAGCGACUGUCCUGGCCGCAUCAGAGGCUUCGACUCAGGUGGAGCUUCAGAAGGAGGAGACACAGCUGUGCAGGUCUUGCCAUUCCCUGAAGCCUCUUGCUGGGGCCGAUCGUCUCUCUGCCUGGAAGUGUGCUGCCAAGCCAAGGAGCUGUGUGAGAGGAGGUCAGCAGACAGAGCAGCAUGAGAAAGGUAUCUACUGGAUACUCUCUGAGACUCUGCAGCUUCUGGAGCUGGGUGAGAGGAAAGGACUUGCAGCACGCUCAGGUCACUGACAGCUGCCCUGAAGAUCUGCUCCACAGAGUAAGAGCUAACCCCUGCCCGCUGUAGCUCCAUGUCUGAGAAGUCUCCAGCAAUGGGCCGUUUGCGGCUCUUG